GGUGGUACCGUAUCAGUUUCAUAACAAACUGAGCCGAUAUGGGUCGAGUCAUGCAGCGUCACUCGCCGCAACGCGCGGCAAUAAUCCUAGUUCAAAACAAAAACCAUUAUCCAAAAUCCUAAUUUCUCCACCUCCAACACCAAUCUUCUAUACUGCGUAUUCAAACUUUAUCAGAUUUGCAAUCAAUUCAACUGGUUAGGGUUCGAUAAUCAAUAAACAGUCUAUGGUAUGAGAACACAUCUUCCACAACGUUUCCUUUGACUGUCGAGUUUGAAUUAUCUUCAAGAAAGAAGAAGGUUGUACAUAAGUGGCUGCAAAGUACUAUGAAGAGGAUAGCUGUAAACACAAUCCUAUCAAUUGAGGAAGUUAAUCUUUAAUGAUGAAACGGUCAUCCAGUUUCUAAACCCCAAAGUUUUAGCCUCUGUUGGUGCCAACACAUGGUUUGCUAGCGGCUUGCCUCAAACAAAGAAGCUGCAAUUCUCUAGCAGAAAACCCUAAUAUGUGGGAAAAGGAAAUUAAGGAUUGCACAACACUACUUCGUCAUUUACUUCGGUCACCAUCAUUCUUGCAGGAAUUUCAUUUAAACCCUUGGGAAGUGGAUUUAGGAUAUGGACCCAUUUGAACCCUUUGAAAAUUUGAAAUAGCAACAACCACUGGCAGCAUUGAAAGGUAGAAUUUAAAAGGAAGGAUCAAGAGUACUUUUUCUCAGUUGAUAAAGAAAUAUAUAUUAAAUAAUCAUCACCAAGUAACGAUUGAAAUGUAGAACUGUUGCAGAAGUGUUAAGUAAGGUGAGAUUUUGGACGAUGGGGCAUUGAAGAUUGGGAGUUCGACUGUGGAGCUUUUGAAGAGAGUUGGGAAAUAGUUACAGAGGAAAAUUGUUGGUAUUUUUUUCAAGAUUAGGGACACUAGCUUUUUUAGAUUUUAUUGAAUCUAUAAAAUAUUGGGAAAUCUGUUAAAAGGUGAACCAGGAAACUCCAAAUAUUUGUUUUAGUUUACCACCCAGAGGCUACAUAAGAUAAUGAUAUUGAUGUUUCAUGAUUUGA